rnacentral:rRNA from 1 species
AGAGUUUGAUCCUGGCUCAGGAUGAACGCUGGCGGCGUGCCUAAUACAUGCAAGUCGAACGAGAGGUAGCAAUACCUCGAGUGGCGAACGGGUGAGUAACGCGUUGGUGACCUGCCCCGAAGAGAGGGAUAGCAGUUCGAAAGGACUGAUAAUACCCCAUGUGGUUGUCGGUUUUAGAAUCUGAUAACUAAACGGCGAAAGUCGCUUCGGGAGGGGCCUGCGUCCCAUCAGCUAGUUGGUAGGGUAAUGGCCUACCAAGGCUAUGACGGGUAGGGGACCUGAGAGGGUGGCCCCCCACAAUGGAACUGAAACACGGUCCAUACACCUACGGGUGGCAGCAGUAGGGAAUAUUGGUAAUGUGCGAAAGCGCGAACCAGCAACGCCGCGUGCACGAUGAAGGCCUUCGGGUCGUAAAGUGCUUUUAGAGAGGAUGAGGAAGGACAGUACUUUCUGAAUAAGCCUCGGCUAACUACGUGCCAGCAGCCGCGGUAAAACGUAGGAGGCAAGCGUUAUCCGGAUUUACUGGGCGUAAAGCGCAUGCAGGUGGUUUUGUAAGUUGGAUGUGAAAGCUCCUGGCUUAACUGGGAGAGGUCGUUCAAAACUACAAGACUUGAGAUUGGUAGAGGAAAAUGGAAUUCCGGGUGUAGUGGUGAAAUGCGUAGAUAUCCGGAGGAACACCAGUGGCGAAAGCGGUUUUCUGGACCAAUUCUGACACUCAGAUGCGAAAGCUAAGGUAGCAAACGGGAUUAGAGACCCCGGUAGUCUUAGCUGUAAACUAUGUGAACUUGGCGUCGGUGGGUUCAAAUCCAUCGGUGCCGAAGCAAACGCGAUAAGUUCACCGCCUGGGGACUACGGCCGCAAGGA